CAUUCUGAGUUAAUUUUUACAUAUGGUAUAAAGUAAGCAUGCAACUUCAUGCUUAGGCACAUGGAUAUCCAGUUGUCCCAGCACCAUUUGUUGAAAAGGCUGUUCUUUUCCCAUUGAGUGGGGAUGUCAGUGAAGCUCGUUAAUUGAGUUAAUAUAUCAAAUCAUUAUGUUGUACACCUGAAACUCUUAUAAUGUUAUAUGUCAGAGUGUUUUCUCUUAAUAAAACAAAACCCCAAAAAUAUGCAACAGUUGAUGAAUAGGAUUCAAUUGUAAGGUUAUUAGGCUUUAUUAAAGACACAUGAGAGCUGCAAAACUGUCAAAACUAUAAAAAUAUCAAGUUGCACAUAUUUAUGAAAACAUCUAGCAUUUAUUGAGCUGUUACUGUGUUCCUAGCACUAUUCUAAGGGUUUUCAUAUAUUAACUCAAAUCUCAAAGCAACAACCCAGCAGGAACAAGACAGGCUGCCUGUUUUCGCCGCUCCUACUCAACCUAGUAUUGGAAUUUCGCUGCAUGGUAGGCAUCAGAUCAAUGGUACACAAAGAAAGAGCUUCGCUGACAACCCAGCCAUAAUAACCCCUGUCCUCCUCAUCUCUACUCUGUUUAUGUUUACUUUCUUCAAAGCACUCAUCCCCAUGGGGAAUUGCCCCGCUUAUUGAUUUAUUUACCUGCUCAUUGCCAGUUUUCCCAAACUAGAAUGAAACUCCAGGGACCCUGCCUGUCUUGUUCUCUGUGCUGUGUCCUCAGUGCCUAGUUCGGUGCCUCACAUAUACAUCAUUGAAUAAACAUUACUUACGUGAAGGAUUGGUUUCCUAUUUGACACACAGGAGCAGACACAGAUAUUUAAAGCUGAGUGACAGGAGAUAUUGACAGGGAAAUGAGACAUCAAAGGAUUCAAAAUUUUAAGAACACCUUGGAGUAAAUCCACAACAGUGCUUUCAUUUCAGCUGGAGAAAGUGUUCAAAAUGCAGACAUCUCCUAGCCCACCUCCUUGUUUCGGAUACAGCAUACCUAGAGUGGACCUAAAUCUGCAAUUUUAACAAGGAACUCUGAAUGAUUUUGAUGAGGUGCUCCAUGGACCACACUGGGGAGAAUUCUGACCUAAACAGCUGACAUUUCUGUAGCAUUAAUUUAAUGCCUACCAUGCAGAGUUCUAUAAUUUCUGGGAUGUCUCUGUUAAUGCAAUUACUCGAACAUGCACUGGUCCCUCCCUCUCACCUGUGAUGACAGAUUGUUUUCCCACGUGGAUUACACUUAAACUCCACAAUAUUCCUGGGUGGUCAGGAGCAAUGAGUACUGUUAUCCUGUUGUACAGAAGAUGCUGGAGGAAAGGGUAGUGACUCACCUAAAGUGUCCCAAUAUUGGGACCCUGAUCUCUUCACUCUUGUUCCAGGGACCUUUCUAGCACACUCGACUUCACGCUUGAUUCUUCUCUGUCAGCUCCUGCUUCCGAGGCUCAGAGUCCACACCCUUCUCUGAGGGUCCACUAGAAGGAGAGUCAGGGGAUAAGAGAGUUCAUGGACUGGAGAGGAAGGUAGAGGAUGGGAAAGCACAUGAACACAGGGAAAGGGGUGAGGAUGUCCUUGCCUGCCCCCCUCUUGUCCACUGGAAGCUGUGCAAUGAUGCUUCGCCUCUUCCCCAGCUCCAUCACACAGCCCGCCGUUAGGCAAUGCAGCAGAAAUUCCAAACGGUUCGGAAUGAAAUGUAAAAAAAGAAAUCCAAACAAAUAUUAGAAGAAAAUACAGGCCAAUUUGAUAAGACAUGGUGUGGACCUGUUAACACUACAAGAGCACAAUUAUGGGACUUUUUCACCUGAUUAGUUUAAUUGCAUCAGAGAAGUAUGAAUAUCUAUUCCGUCACAAUGAAUUCCUGGCAUCUUGAGUGGGCAGAGGAGAGGAAGAGAGCGUACACGUAUUGGGCCAUCAGAGGAGGGUGUGGACUCUGAGCCUCAGAAGCAGGAGCUGACAGAGAAGAACCAAGUGUGCUGGCGCGUGUGCAGACAGGUUCCUGGAGCAAGAGUGAGGAGAUCAGGGUCCCAUCACUGGGACACUUUAGUGGGCCGUCAGAGGAGGGUGUGGACUCUGAGCCUCAGAAGCAGGAGCUGACAGAGAAGAACCAAGUGUGCUGGCGCGUGUGCAGACAGGUUCCUGGAGCAAGAGUGAGGAGAUCAGGGUCCCAUCACUGGGACACUUUAGUUUCUCGAGAAUAAUACUGUGCACCAUAGCUCAGAAAGAAGAGGCUUUGCAGAAGAAUGCUGUCACAGAACACUGGGACUCUGGCUGGAGAAACCAUGAUGUACGGAGGUUAAGUAACCUGGCUGGGGGUCAUCGUGCUACCAAGACGAAAAGCAGAGACUGCUGCCUUCUGUGUCCAAAUGCCAACUGCAUGAUGCUCAGCUGCGAGCCACCUCCAAUCAAGUAGACCUUGCUCUCCUUCUGAGCCGUGUCACUCCUACAAUCUGCGUCUUCACUUCUGAUUCCAAAAUGCUAGUCCUGCCUGUGUUUAUACAAGUCAGUGUACAUGAUUCAACCUCAGUUUCCUAUUCUGUAAAAACAAGGGUGUGUGGAAAGAACACAAGGAAGGUUUUGGAGAGGAUGGAUAUGUUUAGGACCUUGGUUAUGGUCAUUGUGUUACAGGUGCAUGUGUAGGUCCAAACCUAUGAAGAUUUAUACGUUAAAUUGUGUAAUUUUUUGUCUAUCAGUUAUACCUCAAUGAAACUAUAAAAUCCAAUCUCUCCAGGAGGUAAGGUGUGGCAGUCUGCCUAAAUCUGCUUCUGCACACUGAAGUUAAGGGCUCCCAUUUUGCAGCCGUCUGGUGCAGAGUCCUAAGAAGCUGCAUCCUCUCAGCCACGCAACACCACGGGGUCCGUCAUCUGCAUGAAGAGCUCUGCCCUGGGACAUAAACAUUACACUUGCCUGCUCAACAACCACCUCUUUGUCACAUCUCUAGAUCUUGAGUGUUGAAAUGAGUGUUCAAAUGGAGACAGACAGGUCUUUCUCCAGGAGGAAAGGAUUUCCUUCCCCCAGGACAGAAUUCAGUUGCUUGGGUAGAGACAAGGAUUAUAUUGCUGUGCGAUCAGGUACGUAAAAGCCCGAGUUGUAAAUGCCUCCACAGAGUCAGAGUCUGAUGAUGUGAAGGCUGUGCUUUAGGCAAUGAGCUUUCAAAUUAAGCACGCGUUUUUUCCUCAGGUCCUGUACUUUUGCUUCAUUGAAAAGGAUUUUGCAGAUAACAAUCAUUUUUUCUGGUCACUUCAAUAAACUCUGUCUUAUUUCUUUUUCUUUCUUUCUCAAGGGAUUUCCGUUUAUGGAAUAAAUCAUCUGAAAUUAUAAUGUCUCAAAUUCUGUCAUGGGUAAAUGGGUUGUCUAAAUGCAUUGUCUAAUAUACCACAGCUAGGCAACGUAAUGGUGGUGAAAUAUAAUGGUGGCAGUAGGGAACUCUUGCAGGUUCCUGACUCUUAAGUCAGAAUACUUUUACUGUACCACAGAAAUCGGAAUGGUGAACUUUUGGGGAUGCAUCCCUUCAGUAACAUAACACAACCGUCAUAGUAAAAGCAGACGUGAAUCCUUACUGCUAAAAGUGUUUGAGUUAAUAAAGAAAUGGGUGACGGGAGACAAGCUGUCUUGAUCAAAUAUUUCUAAAUAAUGUAUGUAGAUACCCUGCCUCCAUGAAGUGAACCUUAGUUCUGCCUCCACCGCUGAGGGCAGGGCAUACUCAGUGACUCCCUUCUAAAGAACUGAGUCUGGGGGUGGAGAACAGUUCCUGUACCCUGGAGAACCUCGACAAACACCUCAGCCCAGCCAUGAGGGUCAACGUGUCCAGUGAUCCAGCGAUGUCACAUGGGUCUCAUGUCCUCCCAGAUAUCAUGUGCUGAGAAGGGCACUUGAACUCUGUGCUAUUCUUUCUCAAAACCUGUAAGCACAGUCUAAUCAAGAGAAAAAUAGCAGACUGUGCCUGCACUCCUCAAGGCUGUCAGGGUCAUGAAAACAGUCUGGCAGUUCCUCAAACAGUUCAACAGAGACUUACCACAUGACCCAGCGAUUCCACUCCUAGGUACACAGCCAGGAGAAAUGACGACACAUGUAUACCUAAAAACUUGCUCACAAAUGUACGUGGCAUCAUUAUUCAUAAUAGCCAAAAGUGGAAACAAGCCAGAUGUCCACCAGUUAAGGAAUGGACAAAUAAAAUGUGGGAUAUAAUUUGGCAAUGAAAAGGAAUGAAGUACUGAAACAUGCAACAACACGGGUGAACCUUGAAAACGGUAUGUCAGGUGAAAGAAUCCAAAUAUGCAAAGACCACAUAUUGUAUUGAAGGGGAGCAGAAUAUGCCACCUCAAAAUGCGCCACUUUGGCAUGUGGAUUAUUUUGAGGUGAAGACAAUCAAGGCCCAGAAGACUCAGGAAGAGCUUUCUACCCCCACCUUAACUGCCUGAAAGAAUUUAGAUACAGGCCCUGGUCCAGGAAGAGAGUUGUCACCAGAGAUAACUACAAAGAAUAUGCACUAGGUGUGGUGAGCUGGGGGUUGGGGGGACUCAGCAGGGUCUGUUUGUCCACAUUCCUCUCUGUGUCCCACUGUCUCUGCACAGCAUGGCAAACAUGUGUUUACCAAACCUUCAUUCAACCAUCUUCCUAUGAAUUGUCUUCCUUUCCUUUGAAGCCCCAGAACCUUAUCCCCUUCUCCUUAGCCCAGAGUGGCACAUAAACCUCAAAUGCCUGACUGUCGAGGAGCCUCUCAUACAUAUGUGGGGCUCCCAUACAUACGAAACUAAAUUUCUUUUUCUCCUGUUAAUCUGUCUUAUGUCAGUUUAAUUAUUAGACCAGCCAAAAGAACCUAGAGGGGUAGAGAAAAAUUUUUUUCUCCCCUGCAGUGUGAUUCCACUUAGAUGAAAUGUCCAGAAUAGGCAAGUCCAUGGAGAGAAAGCUAAUCUGUGGUUCCCGGGGCUGGCAAUGGGUGUGGACUUUAACUGCAUUCAAGCACAAUGGGACUUUUUGGGGUGAUGGAAACGUCUAAAACUCGAUUAUGGUAAUGGUUGUACAACUCUAUGCAGUUACUGAAAAUCAUCAAAAUGUAUGCUUAAAAUGUGUGGAUUUUGUUCUCUCUAAAUUAUAUUGCAAGAAAGCAGUUAAAAAUGUGA